AGUGAACGCUGGCGGCGUGCCUAACACAUGCAAGUCGAGCGAUUUACUUCGGUAAAGAGCGGCGGACGGGUGAGUAACGCGUGGGUAACCUGCCUCAUACACAUGGAUAACAUACCGAAAGGUAUGCUAAUACAAGAUGAUAUAAGAGAUUCGCAUGGAUUUCUUAUCAAAGCUCCGGCGGUAUGAGAUGGACCCGCGUCUGAUUAGCUAGUUGGUAAGGUAACGGCUUACCAAGGCGACGAUCAGUAGCCGACCUGAGAGGGUGAUCGGCCACAUUGGAACUGAGACACGGUCCAAACUCCUACGGGAGGCAGCAGUGGGGAAUAUUGCACAAUGGGCGAAAGCCUGAUGCAGCAACGCCGCGUGAGCGAUGAAGGCCUUCGGGUCGUAAAGCUCUGUCCUCAAGGAAGAUAAUGACGGUACUUGAGGAGGAAGCCCCGGCUAACUACGUGCCAGCCGCCGCGGUAAGAC
rnacentral:rRNA from 1 species